CCUACGGGAUGCACCAGUGGGGAAUAUUGGACAAUGGGCGAAAGCCUGAUCCAGCCAUGCCGCGUGAGUGACGAAGGUCUUCGGAUUGUAAAGCUCUUUUGGCGGGGACGAUAAUGACGGUACCCGCAGAAUAAGCCCCGGCUAACUUCGUGCCAGCAGCCGCGGUAAUACGAAGGGGGCUAGCGUCGUUCGGAAUCACUGGGCGUAAAGCGCACGUAGGCGGAUUUGCCAGUCAGGGGUGAAAUCCCGGGGCUCAACCUCGGAACUGCCCUUGAUACAGCAAAUCUCGAGUCCGGAAGAGGUGAGUGGAAUUCCUAGUGUAGAGGUGAAAUUCGUAGAUAUUAGGAAGAACACCAGUGGCGAAGGCGGCUCACUGGUCCGGCACUGACGCUGAGGUGCGAAAGCGUGGGGAGCAAACAGGAUUAGAUACCCGUGUAGUC
rnacentral:rRNA from 1 species